UCCGGUGCUUUAAGCGAUGGGGAAACACCCGACCCCAUACCGAACUCGGAAGUUAAGCCCAUUAGAGCCGAUGGUA
rnacentral:rRNA from 1 species